AUCCACUGACGAGUCCCAAAUAGGACGAAAUACGCAUCCUAUAU
rnacentral:hammerhead_ribozyme from 1 species